CAGUGUGUGUGUAGCAGUGGAAGGGUGAGGAGCAGCAGGUGUUCCCAGACAGGUGGUGACGUGGGUGAUUCCGCCGCCAUGUUGCCACUCCUAGACCUCUCUGCACGCCGCCGCUGCCAUCUUGCUGCUCCUCGUGACGCCACUCGGCCGCCAUGUUGGAUUUUGACAGUGUUGUGUACCGUUCUUUACCUGUCAUUGCCGUCCUGAUAGUUGUAAUAAUUGGCGGUGUGGUGACCUUUCCUGUUGACGCGUGUGGUGGAAGAGAAAGGGGAAUGAAGGAAGAGGAAUGAAGGAACAACGAAGGAAGAGGACCGACCCCUCCCCUCUUCCCCCUUCCCCUCCCUAACCGUAGUAUAUAACCCCUGCAUACCCCUCCCUAUAUAAUCUUCCUAACCCAAACUUGCCUUUCUUUCCCCGCCUCCU